GAGUGAAAGCGGGUCAAACAAGUCAAGCAUGGAAGAAAAGCGUAGCUCGGAUGCAAGGUACACCUUGGAUGCCGGAAGACGAUCAAGCUCAGCGAAGAACCGAACACGAUAAUGAUACACGCUUCCGCAUUUUGCUACGUUGUAAUUUUUAAACAACGAAUUCGAUCACGUUAUGUAGAAUAACUUAUGAUUUAUUAAAAGUUUUAAUAAACCCGUAUUUCCAAAUGUUUAUGUAAUCUUAAAUACAUGAUUGUUUUACGUAAAA